rnacentral:rRNA from 1 species
AUUGAACGCUGGCGGCAUGCCUUACACAUGCAAGUCGAACGGUAACAGGUCUUCGGAUGCUGACGAGUGGCGACCGGGUGCGUAAUACAUCGGAACGUGCCCGAUCGUGGGGGAUAACGCAGCGAAAGCUGUGCUAAUACCCCAUACGAUCUACGGAUGACAACGGGGGAUCGCAAGACCUCUCGCGGACGUUGCGGCCGAUGGCAGAUUAGGUAGUUGGUGGGAUAAAGGCUUACCAAGCCGACGAUCUGUAGCUGGUCUGAGAGGACGACCAGCCACACUGGAACUGAGACACGGCCCAGACUCCUACGGGAGGCAGCAGUGGGGAAUUUUGGACAAUGGGCGCAAGCCUGAUCCAGCCAUGCCGCGUGCGGGAUGAAGGCCUUCGGGUUGUAAACUGCUUUUGUACGGAACGAAAAAGCUCUCUCUAAUACAGGGCGUGAAUGACGGUACCGUAAGAAUAAGCACCGGCUAACUACGUG